GAGAAAGAAAGAAAGAAAGAAAGAAAGAAAGAAAGAAAGAAAGAAAGAAAGAAAGAAAGAACGAAAGAACGAAAGAACCAGACUUUUAUGAAUUAGGUUUAGGCUGACCUCAUCCAGAAAUGCAGAAAUGGUCUUUUUCAUGUUUUCAUUUCUUGUCUUGUUGUCAACUGCCAUCAUAAUGCACUACAGAGAUCCCAGAGGAUGAAAAAAAAAAACCUGACACUUAAUUAUUAGUAUUGUUAUUAUUAUUGCUUUUUGAAAGGCCUUGUGUUAUAAAUAGGAAAAACAUAGUAUAUAUAAUAUAUUUACUUAUGCGGUGCUAUUGGGGGAUUUUUACAACUUUGGCUACUCAAUUAUUCCAAUCUGCUGGAAGAGUAAUGAAUCUCUACCCCCCCUCCCCAUCCCUCCCUAUCUCCCUCCCUCGUGAAAACAAAAUGCAAUUUCUGAAAAAAACGAGGGCUCUUCUUGCUAUGAUUGAAAGGGAAGGGUGAGUGGGGAGGCAGGGGAGCAUAGGAUCUGACUAGACAAUCCUUCCUUAUAAACCAGGAUAACUUUGCAAGGUGGGUUGGGAGGGAGAGAGGCGAUAUAUAUUUUUUAAAAAAUACUUUUGCAAUAUAAUUUUAUUACAUUGCUGCUUUUUUUUCUGGAAAGAAAGUUUCUUUUAACUUGCACAUUGUUGGUCUUUGGUUUUAGAUUCGGUGGGUGGGCGGUACUGAGUGAAAUGUUAUUAUCUAAAGGAGCGUUUCUCAAUCUUGGCAAUUUUUAAAGCUAGGGUGGACUUCAACUACCAGAAUUCCACAGUCGGCCAUACUGGCUGGGGAAUUCUGGGCGUUGAAGCUCAACCUAUCUUAAAGUUACAGUUUGGGGAACAGUGAAAAGAAGGCAUUAGUUUGUAAAGUCCAUUUUCCAUUAUAUGGGGGAGGAAGAUGCCAGAGGCGGCACUAAUACAGUAUCUGCAGGCGUGCCGUAGCAAGGGUGCCUAGACAAGGCAGCCCCUUUGCCUAUGGAAGGUAAGAUUUCCAAGGAUGCUGAAAGAGAAGAAAUUGGGGUCAAGGAACAACCCGGAAUUUCUGUCCUGUAAAUCUGUUCUUUUGGAAAAGGCCUUGGGAAUUGAAUUCCCCAAGGAACCUUGGCAGUAACUUUUGUUUAAAUGAAAGCCGGUUGCCGUUGACUCUGUGCAAACCGUUUGCUCCAACCUACAAAAAGUAGCAAAUAUGUUUGACUCUGGAUUAAAUCUUGUGGUUUUUUUUCCUGAACUGGUCAUUAAAAAAGAGCAAUUUUGCAAAAGUACCAACAAUCUGAGAAUGGGGUGUGCGUGUGCUUGUGCGUUUGCGAAACGAGAGAGCUAACAAUUAAACUGGAUUCAAACCCAUGUACUGUAGGCUUGGCCUGUUGAAAAACACUGAUCUAGAGAUCCUUUUACUGACCUUUUUGUAGUAUUUGUAGAUUUCAAGCGGUUGCUUAUGGUUGUUCAGUUCCCUCCUCGACAGGAUAGGCAGUGGGACUUCGGGGGGAAGUGUGCUUUUGUGUCCCGCAGUGCAUAUUCUAUUUGAAAAGAAGGCUUUGUGGUGAUCAAAACUGUCGUUAAUUUUCCAGCAUCUCUACCCCAAACACUUUAAAUUUGGGAUGUUUUCAGGUUACAGACCAUAACAUAAAGUGAGUAGUAGCCGAAUACACACACACACACACACACACACACACACACACACACACACACACACAGGGGAGAGAAGCCAGCAGGAGUAUGAAAUACCAAAAAUAUAACUUAAGUUGUGCCUGUACUGCUGGCUUGCAUUUCCUCGGCUGCUUCACUUUUUGCUCAUGUAAUUCUUCCCUCCAGGUUAUUUAUCCGUAGUCUAUUUGAAAUUGAUUUUGAUUUUUAUUUUUUUAGCAGAUGGGCUAAAAUUGGGCGUCCCAAGAAACUCCAUUCCAUCAAGAUUGGCUGGGGGUGGGGGUGGGGGGAAGAGGUUAAAAAAAUGGAGUUUUUUUAAAACUGGUUGAUGCAUUCUGUGCUCGGCUCACUUGGAGUUUGUUUUUUUUAAUGCUACUAUUGUUCAUUUAACAACAAAAAUUGCGAUGCAAUCCCAUGUACAGUGAAGAGAGGACUGAAUCUCCUUAUAUCCGUGUGUAUAGAAUUAAGUUGCAUUGGGACCCAACUGAAGGUUGCAGCCUUGUGUGUUCAGAGGUAAACAUAUCGUGCACUACUAAAUCCCCGGAGGGUGCAUACAUAAAGCAGGUAUAUUCUCAGAAGUGGGAGUGGUCAACUUUUCCAGGAAAACACCUCAAGAUGUUUUCUUUGCUUCUUCUUUUUUCUCCCCCCCCCCCCCAAAUCACCCAAAAUCUCCUAGGCAAUUAUAACCUCCACUUUGGUUGGGAAAAUCAAGUCUCCCACUCAGUUUUCUCUCUUCAAAUUUGGAAUCUGAAAUUGCUGAAAAACCAGAACAGUGCUUCUCGACCUGACUUCUUUAAGACGGGCGGACUUCAACGCCCAGAAUUCCCCAGCCAGUCAUGCUGGCUGGGGAAUUCUGGGAGCUGAAGUCCGCCCAUCUUAAAAGUGCGUGAGGUUGAGAAACACAGAACUAGACUGUCAGGUGGAUGUCUGGUCACAUGACUAGAACUAAGUGGGUCUUUUUCAAAUCUUCGUUGCCAAGCAGAUUGGAUGAAGUCUGAGAAGGAAAGCUUGGCUGGGCCUUGGGGGUUAAUCACUGGGUUGAGAAACCUACUUGCCUAGAUUGAUAACUACAAGAGGUCUUAGACUGCCCUGCCCCACUGAGACCACACAUCCUGUCCAAUCCCCCCCCCCUUUCACAUCACAGCCACCGUUCAAUUUAAGACAUCCAUCUUUUAUCCUUUGGCUUCUAUUUUCUGUUGUUAUGACAUGGUCUCGAGGAGCACGACGCCCGGAAGAGAGGAAUCGGCAGAAAUGGUUCCCUUAAAAGUUCCAUGCCAAGAUUGGAACGGCCAUUUUUUAACGUUUCUUUCCUUCCCUUGCCCCUGCCAUCUCUCUCUUCCGGCGUUUUCCGUUGGAGUGCAUUUCUUCCCUGACCUUCUCGGAUCCCCAUGCGCAUACUUUUUGUCCAUUUAUAUUUUACAGUGGUUAACAAUAAUAUUUUAUUCUCUGUCUCGCUUCUUGCUUGCUACGUCACAUUAACACUCAUACACACACAGACACACACCGCAGCAUCAGGGAAAGUGAGUGAGUCCCGUCCUUGGGUGAAGGCGCUCACGGGUGGUCGAAGAAAGAGAAAGUCAGCCUUGGAGGGCACUUUACACACUACAGCCUUAAAUUACUUUAAUUUCUGAUCUCACAGUUCCGUCAAGAGGGAAUUUGAAACCGGAAGUUCCUCACAUCCUCAAUUCAGGAGUUUUCUGAGGAGGGGAACCCAUAACCGAUUUUAGACAAGGCAAAAAUGCAAUUCAUUUUCCCAACAGGGUUUUCAGUUGGAGCUCUCCAAAUAUAUAUAUAUAUAUAUAUAUAUAUAUAUAUAUAUAUAUAUAUAUAUAUAUAUAUAUAUAUAUAUAUAUCCAUGUCUCUCACCCUCUUCACCUCCCUCCUCGCUCACUUCCCUGGUGUUCUCAUGAUAUUUGAUUCUAGCAUUUAUACGCAUACUAUUAGCCAACGCGCCUACUUUUAUGUACCAUUACCUGAAAGCCAACUCUGGUUUUCUUUUCUUUUUAAUUUUUUUCCCCUAUGCAAAAGGAAAAAAAAA